rnacentral:lncRNA from 1 species
GAGAAGAAAGUAAUUCCUUCAAUCUAUGUAGUAGCUAUAUAAUAAAUUUCUUGACUUUAAUGGGUGGAUUCCUUGCUGAAAUAGGGCCUUAACUCACAAAACAUUCUUAACUCCAAUAAUUAACAUAGUGUAAGGACGACGAAGGUGCAAUCUUCUUGGAGGGACCUGAGGAAUCACAAGUAUACUCGGGCAAGAAGGUAUGCCGGUGACGUAGGUGCGCAAUUGCCUCUAUUUUGCUCAUGGCCAAGUUUAUUUCUAAUUGGGAUAUAGACUCUUGAGAACUGAGAUUAGGAGGUGGAUUUCUACUAUUAUUUUGGUGCACAAUGAGGAGGUGGAGUAAUUUAGUGAAUAUGGUAAUUGAUGGUCUAGAUGCUCCCUGUUAAAUUG